CCUGAAUAAUGAAAACCAGAGUUACAUUUGACAAACAUGCAAUCUUGUCGACUUGUGUUAUAGUUGGAAACUACUGAGUUGUACACUGUGUUACACAAUGUCGCUUGUAUACGUAAUUGCAGAGCACUAAUUAUGCAACGUCUUGUAGAGAUACAUGCAGUGCAGUGUGCUCCUUAGCGCAAGCAUCAACAGGCGAUUUUAAAGUUCUAAAAGCGCGCAUGUGCCGCGCUACUGCCGUGCGCGGGACUUCCGCCGCGCGCACGUUUCAAUGUUUUCCUGUUGUGCGUAGCAUCGACAGUGCGUUAAUUUUUGGUCUUUUCUCGUAGUAAAUUAUAGUAACCAGAUGAGUAAAUCUAAUCAAAAAUCAAAAAAGAGAAAAAGAUCUGAGUCCAGGGAUUAUCUCGCGGAUCUGGAAGACAAGUUAUCACAGCUUAUCGAGGUAUUUCUCAAAAGUAACGUUAUGAUCCUAUGCUCCUUCCAUUUUUUUUUAUCUGUGCAGGUAGGGCAAAUGUCCCAGGAGGUGCAAGACAUAGGUAACAAAAAAAGUUUAAGGGUCAACGCUAGAAAUAAGGGCGACAAUCCAUCGAGCGAAAGCCAUUUCGAUGGAUCAAGAAAGGCCAUGAGAUCCAUACUCAGGUCUCAGACAUGAAGCGCGCACGCGGCGGGGGCCCCGCGCACGGCAGUAGCGCGACAUACGCGCGCUUUACGAGCUUUAAAAUCUCCUGUUGAUGCGCUAAGAAGCACACUACACUAUAUCCAUCCGGACAAGACAGCACAAUUAUAGUCGAACUUCACUUGAAUCGUUUCUUCAGCUGUCAAACAUCCAUCGGCGUAUCCACAGAUUAAUUCACCAAUAGAAUGACCAAUUAUAAGGUCGGGAACAAUACCAAUAGAUGUUAAAAGAUCAACUAUUCCAAUCUGUAAGACAUGUGAAGAAAAUGUUUUUUUAUUUUAAAUCAUCUUUAUUUUUAACAAAAAUUAAUAUUAUAAAAAAACUGUUGGUUUAUUUUAUGUAUAUGACGCAAUAUAUUAAUAAAAACUUAAGGGAAUAUUGGACCUAAGGCCGAGCUUCCUCGACGUCUAUAUUGCAAAAUUCUUUUUUCAAGCGAGAAUCAAGCGGCACGCGGGGACAAGAAAUAACCCUAAGGCCAGAUGAGUAGAAUAAUACUAUUCAGCAUACGCAUGAAUGUGAAUAUAUCAUCUGUCCUUACUUUUUGAUUUUAACGCCAUCUACCACGGCACCCAGAAACUAAUUUUCUAUUUUUAUAUACUCGAUUCAUUGCAAGAUUAUACUCAGCGCGGACAAAAAUUCGUCCGCGUUAUGCGCAUAUUUCCCCACAGAAGAACACUUCCCGUUCAAGUUCGCAUACUUGCUUCUUUAUAGACUAACAUAAGAGCAUCGACUUGACAUAUUAAUUUCUAAUUAUUAAUUAAAAAUCAGAAGUAAUAUUUAAAAUUAAUAUUCUGAAAUGCUACAUAUUUAAUAAAUUGAAUUGCAAAAGGACAUUAAAUGUCUCGACGUUUCUUGUUUGUGUUUACUUUAUUUUCAACAAAUACUAUAACAUGACAGAUUAAAACGUUUUUUUUAUUUUAUAAUAACUUUUAAUUUUUCUGUUAUUAAUCCAUAAAAACUCUUGUAAUAGUGUUACGAAAAUAAGAUUUAUUUUGUUAUUUUAUAUUAUUUAACUUGUAAUAAAGUUUCUUAUGCUUCUUUUUUAAUCUUUAAUUAUUUAUUCAUAAAAUUUUAUUUUUUAUACUAUUGCUUUGUGUAUCAUUAUUAUUGUAAUACUCAAUUAUAAAAACAAUCUUCAAUAAAAAUACGAGAGUCAUUUUUAAAGUAAGAACCGUUUCGUAAUGUAGUAACGAAAACUUUAAUUAUGAACGUAAAUUAUAUCACAAAUUAAAAUAUGAACAUUUUUUCACUUUUCAACAUAGUCGCCAUUAAUAUUUAAACAUUUAUUAAGUCGUGGCACCAGCUUUUGAAUCCCCUCGUCAAAGAACUCUGCCGCCUGACAGAAAUUAUUACUAAACCAGUUAGUAAUAAUUUUUUUUAAUCGGUCAUUUUCCAAUUGCUUUCCAUCAAAAAAUUCUUUAAGUUUUGAAAAAAGAUGAAAGUCCGAUGGUGCUAAAUCAGGGCUAUACGGUGGAUGUCCAAUAAUUCCCAAUGAAUAACAGAGCGCACUUCAAAAUCAGCGGAAUUACUGACUGACAUGGCGAAAACCAAGUAGUAUAACCAACACCGGCAGAGAUGUGAAACUUAAUAGAGGCAUAGUGAGGGACUGAUCAAGAGUGGCUAACCUUAAACGGACGUCACGUAACAUCCGCCGCGGACGCGAUACACAAUCGGUUCUUACUUUAAAAAUGACACUCGUAUGUUUAUAUUAUGGAUUUAACUAUUUUGUAAAUAGUUGUGUAAUUUAAAUAUAUUACAAUUGUGACUUAAUAACAUUGAAAUGUAGAGAUUAUUUCACCUGUUCGAUUCUUUAACAAUAAGUGCGGGCCAUAUACAAGUAUUUAAGUACACAGUAUUAUUGUGAACACGCUACGCUUUCUUCACUAUUCUGUCCGUAUACAUUUGGGUACAAUCUUACAGUGAACCGAGUAUAGAUACAAGCGUUCUGUUUACCAUUCUGCACUUAUAUUUCGCGUAUACUUACGCACAUAAUUUUAUCAUAAUUACAUAUCUUUUUUUCUAAGCUUUUGAUUUAAGACUCGAUAAUUUAGUGUUACUCUAUCACGUUGUCCGAAAAGUGGUAAUGUUUCAUCUUGCCCAGGAAACCUAUAGAACUGUCAGAUUAACCUGACACUGUCGUGACUGGACAGCUCUACAGUGUAGAUGAGUGCAUAUAAAUAAUUAUUAAAGUAACUUUUAAAUUUUUUGUUAUUGACAUGCUAUUGACCUUCUCAUCCAAAAUUAAUAUGUGUGCUUUAAGUAAAGAAUUUUUAAUUCAGUAAAGCCAAUUUAACAAAAUUGCUUUAAGAAGAAAUGUUUGUAAUUGAGUCAGUCCAUUCCCUUACCCAAGCAGAACAAUGAGUCCCAAUAAUGUCAAAAUGACAUCAAAGUAAAUCGAGAUCGAUGGAAAAGUAAAUUUAAUGACCAUUGUACAGUCACUUUGACAUCAUAAUGACUCCCUGUUCUG